rnacentral:pre_miRNA from 1 species
ACAGUACUCCCUCCGUCCGGAAAUACUUGUCGAAGAAAUGGGUAAAACUGGAUGUAUCUAGAACUAAAAUGCGUCUAGAUACAUCCAUUUCUCCGACAAGUAUUUCCGGACGGAGGGAGUAUUUA